GUUGCCAUCUUGACUGGUGCUAGGAGAAAUGCCACAGUAGUCUGUCAUGAUACUGUUUCCCUGCUGGCUCUUUCUAGACAGGACUUCUUAAAUAUAUUUCUGAGCCGGGAAUCUACUGAGGGGCCAGAUUUUAUAGAUUUCCUGCACAAGACUGAACUUCUUUCAGGAUGGCCAAUUGAAAAGUUGCCUUACAACAACCCCAGAAUUUGUGCUCAGACCUUUUUCAGACCAGGCACAGUCAUUACAAAGGAUUCAAAGUCAUCAUCCAAAAUUUAUGUGAUCAAAACUGUAAGUAAAUCC